rnacentral:rRNA from 1 species
AUUGAACGCUGGCGGCAUGCCUUACACAUGCAAGUCGAACGGCAGCACGGGUGCUUGCACCUGGUGGCGAGUGGCGAACGGGUGAGUAAUACAUCGGAACGUACCUUAUCGUGGGGGAUAACGCAGCGAAAGCUGUGCUAAUACCGCAUACGCCCUGAGGGGGAAAGCGGGGGAUCACAAGACCUCGCGCGAUUAGAGCGGCCGAUGCCUGAUUAGCUUGUUGGUGGGGUAAAAGCCCACCAAGGCGACGAUCAGUAGCUGGUCUGAGAGGACGAUCAGCCACACUGGGGCUGAGAAACGGCCCAGACUCCUACGGGAGGCAGCAGUGGGGAAUUUUGGACAAUGGGGGCAACCCUGAUCCAGCAAUGCCGCGUGAGUGAAGAAGGCCUUCGGGUUGUAAAGCUCUUUUGUCAGGGAAGAAACACCGGCUCUAACACAGUCCGGGAAUGACGGUACCUGAAGAAUAAGCACCGGCUAACUACGUGCCAGCAGCCGCGGUAA